rnacentral:tRNA from 1 species
GCCGGCAUGAUGUUUAACGGCAAGCAUGUCUGCCUUCCAAGCAGAACGUCCCGGUCCGAAUCCGGGUGUCGGCUCCA